rnacentral:snoRNA from 1 species
AUGAUACAUAUAUGCCUUCUAUUCACUGUGCCGUCUGUGGACACUGGGACUCUUCCCAUGUCGCGAGAUAGACGAUCAGAGGGGAAAAGAAGAGCUAGAUCCAAGUCAAACAACCAUGAGCGUCCUCAUACCGACUAGCGUACCUAACUGUCCGCUGCCCUCUGGAGUGGCCCGCCCCAAUGCAACAACA